rnacentral:lncRNA from 1 species
GGCUUAGGGUUUUGAGGAUGUUGGAGAAGUUGUUGCUGGACAUAUCAAAGGCCCUUUUGAGAGUGGACAUGAGAUGGGGAGGGAGGCCAUUGGUGGUAUGGUAGUGAGGUGGGAGUUCAGGCAAGUCAUCAUGUGGAAGAUGGAGUUCCACAAAUUCAAUGCAAUGAGAAUAUUUUUGGGAGAGUUUAGGCUUGAUGGAGCUGAGAUUUACAGGCGUGGAACAAAUAAAGAUGUGAAAAUUUCUCUUGGUGGUCAGCUUCUUGGCUAGCUCUAGGUAGGGAGAUAUAUGGCCGUGAGCUAGCCAUGGAAGCAUAAGAAUAGUAAGUUUUCUUUGGUCAGAGUAAACCAUAUUUUGUUUUCCUUUCACUCUUUUGCUUGAGGUUGCUCGAUUAUAGGCUUAUUGGUAGUUUUUUUGUAGCUAGCUCUAUGCAUAUAUAUAUAUAUAUACACACACAUUCAUGGGAAAAGAGGCUUGGGGAUGGGAAAUCAAUUGAUUUCCUAUGUUUGGUAAAGUUCGGGUAUGAGAAAUCGUUGCUUUGCACAUGAGAAAGUAGAGGGGAAAGUGAAGCCCUCCUCCUUCCUUAGGUUUUGUUUUCCUCCUCAUGGGAAAGUUUGGGAAAAUGAGCUAAUAUUAAAUACAUAUUUUUCAUGACCAUAUUAUCCCCAUUAAUAAUUUAGAAUUACAUAAAUGCAUUCUAUUUUUAUUUGAUUUCAUAUGGGUAUAAUUGAAAAAUUAAACAAAUUUUGUUUUACAUUCCUACACAAACCAAACAUGUGAAAGGAAAUAAAGUGGUAUUUCUUGGUUACUUUCCCAAGAUUACCAAACAUAGGAAAGGAAUCUCUAUUUCCCAUCCCUUAGAAAAUGACUUGGAAAGUAAUUUCUCCUCAAAUUCGUUCCGUGAACCAAACGGAACCUGCAUAAUAGAAGUUCCAAAAAAACACGUGAUGAUUGGAUCAUGCAUAUGUAAGUUCCCGAGUGAUGAUUGGAACAAGUUCCUAAUGAUAAAGACUCGAAACAAGAAUAGUUUAAACUUUCUUCUUUGUUUGGCUUGAUAUAAGACGAAUGCACCAAACAAACCGACUAAUUGCUGGCACAAUAUAAAUUGGGGCUACAAUUACCUAAUAAUUAGGUACUAAGGGCUACAAUUACCUAAUAAUAUCAACUUUCAUUAUACAGAUUUGAGAAACAAAAAGUUCAACUUUGAUGACAAGCGAUAUUAAAGGAGGGCGUAAUCAAACUUAGGAUCUUGAGUGUAGAAAUAAAUACUUUUAACAACUUGAGCUACAAGCCUUUUGUAAUAUUAAUGAUAUUUUAAUUAUACGUUUGAAUAGUUCGCUUCCUUCUCUUUUAUUUUCAUUUGUUUAUAUUUAACUCUAAUUUUAUUUAUAUUUUUGGUCAAGGUAAAAAGACUUUGAAUCUCUCUCCAAUGAUUUUCACAGCCGAAACUCCUUUAGUUUCCACAAAUAUUUUUUAAUAUUUCAUGCAUUUGUAAGUUUCCGACUCGGAUGGUUCAUGUAACCAAGAAGUUUAAACUUGUUUUUGCUUGUUCCGCCGACGAAAGCGCAACAAAAGGACAAACUACAACCAAUACUUCUAGUAUCACCAGUUCUCAUUGAAUUUGUUGCCGUGAAUGUUUAGGAUUCUGCCCAAACUAGUAUUUGCGUUUCUGAAUUGUUUGAAAACACAUAUGAAAUUAUGAUUUCUCCUCCCCAGAAGACAAAUUGACGAAGAAGUAUCAUGAUUUUGAUGACACAAAUUAGAAUCCAGGGUUUUCGAAGUGCCUAAUGGACAACUAUUAAUUUAGAAAUAUAUAUAUUUUUUUCGCAAUGCAGAAACACAUAAAUCCCAAGUUUGAAUUCAUCCUAUUUUUGUUUUUGUUUUUUCCUUUUUUAACCCAGAAGAAAAAUUGAGUGCCACUCUGCUAUGUAGAAUGCAAGUUUUAGUUUAGAUUUUUUUUUCUUUUUAGUCUCUUAUUCUACAUUUAGAUCUCAUAUAUUUACUCGCAUUUUAUUAAAUCUAAGUCAUUCAAACAAUCUGACCACUUAACAAAUUACAAGUACUCAAACUUAAAAUCAGAUUGGAUGGACAUGAGGCUUACACUGAUGAUUCUACACGUGCUGAGAAUAGUCCUUUUAUUUCUUUAUUAUUUUCUUGGUCGGGACUCGAGAGACAGGUGUAGUGUAGCGAUGGAGACGAGGCCCGCAAGACAUAAAAGUCUGAAGAAGAGAAGCGUGAAAGCUUCAUUUAGACAGUUAAGUGCAUACGUAACGUAAAGAUUCAAAGACUAUGUCCCUCUCCAAACAGGGAAAGAUCUGAGUUGAAAGCAACAAACUACAGUCACAAUAGGAAAGCAUCUACAACGUAAAGAAAAUAAGUUUACCAGAAGCAUCGGAAAGAUCUAGAGUCUGAAGAAGAGAUACUGAAGUAAUUGUUCAUCGACUGAGCUUAAAUGAAAUAUUAACUCUUUGUUGUGCCAUAAGCACAAGAUCUUAAGAAAAAAAUUCAAGAUAAACCAUAUAAUAUUUUCUAACCCACAAAAUAAUAUAGAAAAUAAAUGCAAGAACAAGAGAAUAGCAAGACACAACGAGGCUGCUUACAAUCAGUGUAAAUGAGCAAACAAAUUCACCAUCAACAAAUUAGCAUGCUUAUGAAGUGUUUUGCAACCUCACAAACCAAGGCGCCAUAUACACCAAAUGACUCUCACUGAAAAACUAAACAAAGAAACACACUCACACUAAUGAAAGCAACGUUACAAGGUAGGAGAUUGAAUAUUACAUUUACAAUACACUCAUAAGUUACAAAAACUAAUUACAAAUAUUUAGCGCAUAGGUUACAUAGAACUGAAAGGGUGGAAUGAUAAGAGCUAUGGUGGUCAUCCACCAACUCAUGCAUUUACAACACCGCCUCUUGAAUGUCCACCAUACAAUACAAUGAUAUAGUUGCGUCAUUAAACACUUUGCUUGAAAAACUAUAUGGGACAAAACUUAGGCUACGGGAAAAAGAGUGCAACACAAAUAAUAUUGAUAUCACAUUUGUCUCUCCUACGGAAUGAGCUUUGGUGAUGUUUGUAUAAAAAUUGCGUACAAACCAUUAUUGGAAGAUUGGGCUAGAGUGGGCUUUACCCUAGUGUUGACUUUGGAAAGAGACAAAUUAGGCUUAGUUGUGUAAAUUCAAUCCAAAAAAAAAUUAAAUAAUAGCCCACAUCUACAGCCAAAUACUUUAAUACUUUAAUUACUAAAGUUUUUUUUUCUUUCUCUCUCUUCUUUGGUUUAUUCAGCUUUUGAUUUGGCUCAAAUAAUGUUUAUAUCUCUCUUUGAUUUUGUUUUUUCAAAUUUAUUGAUGUUGCUUCUUUUGAAAAUUUUGAAAUAUGGACCCUCCCUAACUAAACCACUCCAUUGAGCAAAAGCCCUUGAGCUUCAAAUUUAUCUUCGUCUGAGCCUCUGAAUUUUGGUUUUUUUUAGGUUUUUUUUGUUUGUUGUAGGUUUCUUUGUUCACAUAUCUCUCUAAAAAUAGUAUUUUUCUUAAUGAAUUCUGAAAAUAGUUUUUAAUUUGAAGGAAAUAUACGGAAUUAGUAAAAAAGUAUACCACUUUCAUUAAUCUGAAGGAAAUAUUGCUUUAUAUAUAUUUGUUUAAAAAUAGGGCUUAUAAUUGAUCUCAAAAAAAAAAAAAAAACAAAUAGCCCACCCCUGUAAAUAUUCCUUAGUCCGCCAUUGCAUGGCAUAAUAUUUGGUAUGCUAUGCUAGCAUCUCAUAAGCUCUUCAAGAGACCUGAAUUUUAUGAUAACUUCUUAAAAAAUUUGAAUACAUUUCAACGAUAUUAAACUUGAAUUUGAACUCAUAAUUCAAUCAAAGUACUCAUUGAGGCAAUUUAGAUCAUUUUCAUUUUAAAAAAAUUGGGUGCACACAUUGAGCUUCAUGCUCUUUACCUUCUUAGAGAUUUUAUUUGAGGAAUUUAUAUUGCAUCACAUAUUACAUCUCUUAGGAUUUGUUCUUAUUAUGUAUUCUUUAAGAGAUCUAUUCUUGCAAUAUGCUUCAAACACUUCAUAAUCUUUAUGAAUUUUUCAUGUAGAUUUAAGGUCUCCAUGAAUAUUGAGAUUGAAACAAGGAGUAAAAGAGUUAAAAGUUUAAGAAAUUUUUUCCCUGAUUAUUUUGUAAUUAUAAUGUUGGUGAAAAUCCAAUUUCCUUUCUAGAAUUUGUGAAAUUUGUUAUUUGGCUAAGCUAAAAGUAUAAUUUUGACAAUAAAAAGCAUAUGAAAGUUUCUCUUUGGUUGGCUUCUUGGCUAGCUCUAGGAACGGACAGUGUGGCCAUGAGAUAACCAUGGAAGUAUAAUAAGAAUGCUUGGAUGCUGUGAACAAUCCAUUUUCUGACUCUUUUUCUUGAGGUGGUUGUUUUCUUAUGGCCCAUCAGAGUUUAUGGUCGACAGAUAAGCUUCAAACACAUGCAUUGGUCGUGUCAGUUGCGAUAAACUCUUCCCAACAAUCAACAAUUUCUAAGGUAAUAUCAUCAUUCAAUCAUGUGCUGAAUUUAGAAUUGUUUUCAAAUCAAGGAUUUGUUUUGGAACUCAGAUUUUAAAACAAUUAAAAUUUAAUUGGGAAGACUUUUUGUUUAAAGGAAGUUCGUUUCAAUUCAAAAAAUAAUUUUUCAGUUUUUCAACUCAAAAGUCUUCUCAGUUUUCUUAUUUUUCUUAUUGGCGAGUUUCUUGGUUAACUCUAGGAAGGGAGAUAUGUGGCCAUGAGCUAACCAUGGAAGCAUAAGAACGCUGACCAUGCUUGGAUUUUGAGAAGACUUCCUCUUUUUUUUUUCCCUGACUCUUCUUCUUGAGGCGGUGGUUGGCUUAUGGCCUCAUAAUAGUUUGGUGUUUUUGGAGAUCAUAUGGUGAUGAUCUGAUGGAGAUGAGUCAUAGUUUGUGCUAGUGCAUACGUAAUUCCAAUUUCCUGAUUCAGAUGGGAUAAACUCUUCCAACAAAUUAAGACUCUUAUCAUGCAUACACAUAAGAAGUGGAAAUUUGCUUCUGUCUUAGUUUGGCCUUGAUAUAGGACAGCUCAUAGGAAAGCAUCCAAAACAAUAUUCUUUUUAUUUUUUUUAUUUGAAUACAAGCGAUAUUAGGAGUGUGGGGAUUUGAACACAUGAUUUAGGGUACAGGGUAAUGCUCUUAACUAUAUGAGUUACAAGUCCCUUGCAAACAGUCUGAAAUACUAAAAAUAAAAAAUAGAUGCUCAUCCAUAUGCACUGUCAUGCCCCAACCCUUGGAUUUACAAAACCUUGUGUUAAGACGUGAUUCACACCUUAAUUAUAGAAUUUAAUAAAAACUAUAACUAAAAUGUGAAGAAAACAUUUAAAUAAAUAAAAUAAAUAUUUCACAUAGAAUAUUCAGUGGAAAUGACAACAUGUGAAAUCUUAAAAAUUUUACAUUAUCUUACAAGUUGGCGUGACUUGUGGAUAUUGACUUACUUUCCUUACACACCAAGAAUUCCUAUUAUAAUUGUAAUUGAUUUACUUUAAUUCAUGAUUUCCUACUGUAAAUAGAUUUAAGAAUUUAUUAUUUACUUGCCCAUUCAGGUUUCGUUGUAUUAUAAAUAUGACCUCCUACAAGGAGAAGAACAUACAGAAAAUUCCCACAAACAAAUAUUCUCUCAUAGUUUUCAUAUUUUAGCAUGGUAUCAGAGCGGCAAUCUUGGAAUUGCUGACUCUAGUUUCAAACCCCCGCCGCCGCUAUGGGGGUUGAUGAUUUUUUCAACCAUCAUGGAGGUAGCACCAUCGACUCCUUCUCUCAUUCUCAACUAACCAUCGUUGAGUUGAGUGCCCAGAUGGCUCCGCUCCUACAGAUGCAGACUUUGACCCCAAACCCGAUCCAGAAUCAGGAUCUUCUUUCGACAACCACGACCCCGAUCUCGACUAUGACAACGACGACCCCGACCCCUACUCUGAAGAUGACCCCGACCCCCACUCCGAUGACCCCAACCCCGAAUUUGUCUCUGAUUCAGAACCCGAUCCCGAUUUCGACUCCGACUCCGGCCUCGACUCAGGCUCAGAUUUCGAUCCAAAUUCCUACUCAACUUAUAUCCUAUGCAUCUUCCGCUGCACAGAUUAUGACUUCUAGACUAACGACCCCGACAUAUGGACCAGAUUGCACAUAUUGUGGUGAUCCGAGACACACUUGUGAGACUUGUUUUAAAUCGCAUGGCUACCCCGAUUGGUGGGCUAUUCUUACAGAUCAAGGACAAUGCACCAGUAAUGGUACUGGUUAUGGAUUCCAUACUUCCGAUAAGAUUGAUUCCAGGAGCUGGAUAAUUGAUUCUGGUGCAACUGAUCAUAUGACGUUUGAUCCUGAUGAUUUUCUGAAUACUACACAACCUCGACGAACUUGUAUUGCAAAUGCCAAUGGUGUUACUUAUCCUGUGACAGGGGCUGGCACUGUUGCACUCUCAUCCUCUCUCACACUGUCUAAUACUUUACUUGUUCCAUUUUUAUCCACUAAAUUGUUGUUAGUUAGUCAGCUUACUAAACAAUUGAAGUGUUGUGUACUCAUUUACCUGAGUUUUUGUUUGCUUCAGGAUAUUCACACUAAGGAGAUUCUUGGUCGUGGUACUAAGAGAGGGGGGCUAUAUUAUGUCGAUGACUUCAGUUCCGGCGUGCCUAACAGUGUGACACAUCCCUUUGAUAGCAAACAAAAGCAAAUUUGGUUGUGGCACCUUCGAUUGGGACAUCCGUCUUUCAGUUAUAUGAAGCAUCUUAUACCAGAUUUAUUCUUAGGUUUCAAGGACUCCGACUUCACAUGUGAUACUUGUAUUUUGGCUAACAGUCACCGUGUGCCCUACCUGUUGAGUACGAACAAGUGUACUUGUAAGAUCCCACAUCAACCAACGGAGAGGGGGUGAUGUGCCUUAUAUAUGCACACCUGCAUCCAUCUAGCACGAGGCCUUUUGGGAGCUCACUGGCUUCGGAGUCGUAGGAACUCCGAAGUUAAGCGAGUUGGGGGCUAGAGCAAUCCCAGGAUGGGUGAUCCACUGGGAAGUUGCUCGUGAGCUCCUAGAAACAAAACCGUGAGGGCAGAGAGAGGGGCCCAAAGCGGACAAUAUCGUGCUACGGCGGAGUUGAUCCCGAGAUGUGACAAUUUGGUAUCAGAGCCACUCUGCCGUGUGGUGCGAAUGUGCCGACGAGGACUUCGGGCCCUUAAGGGGGGUGGAUUGUAAGAUCCCACAUCAACCAACGGAGAGGGGGUGAUGUGCCUUAUAUAUGCACACCUGCAUCCAUCUAGCAUGAGACCUUUUGGGAGCUCACUGGCUUCGGAGUUGUAGGAACUCCGACGUUAAGCGAGUUGGGGGCUAGAGCAAUCCCAGGAUGGGUGACCCACUGGGAAGUUGCUCGUGAGUUCCCAGAAACAAAACCGUGAGGGCCAGAGAGGGGGGCCCAAAGCUGAUAAUAUCGUGCUACGGCGGAGCCGAUCCCGGGAUGUGACAAUUGUACUACUCCAUUUACGUUAAUUCACUCUGAUGUCUUGGGACCUUCGCCUAUCACUGCUCCUUCUGGUGUUCGAUGGUUUGUCACAUUCAUCGAUGAUUGUAUACAGAUGACAUGGCUUUAUUUGCUGAAGAAUAAAAACGAAGUGUUUUCCCGUUUUCAGUCCUUCCACAAACAGAUGAAAACUCAGUUUAAUGCUCAAAUCCAGAUUCUUCGCUCAGACAAUGGUGGAGAAUUUGUCAAUCAUGACUUUCAGACUUACUUCCAACAACAUGGAAUUAUCCAUGAGACGACUUGUCCUCAGACACCACAACAAAAUUGUGUUGUUGAACGAAAGAAUUGACAUCUUCUUGAAACCGCCCAAGCACUUCUGAUUGGCGCUCAUGUUCCUCGCUAUCACUGGGAUGAUGCUAUUGUCACCGCAGUUCACCUGAUCAACCGCAUGCCUUCUGGUGUAUUGACCUUUAAAACUCCCUUACAGGUGCUUGCGCAACACAGACCUCUGCUCUCUGUUUUGGUACUCACACCCCGAAUCUUUGGAUGUGUGGCUUUCGUUCAUCUCCACAAAAAUCAACGUAGCAAACUUGAUCCCUGUGCGCUUCGUUGUGUUUUUAUAGGUUAUGCCACUCAUCAGAAAGGCUACCGUUGUUAUCACCCUCCUACCCAACGAACCUAUGUCACUUUGGAUGUGACCUUUCUGGAAUCUGAGUUGUUCUUCCAUGACCCAUCAUCCAAUUCUACGCAUCAGGGGGGGAUACGAAGUGAAGAGCAGAAUUGAAGCAACUUGGGAAAUAAAGAAAUUUUCCUCUGUACAGAAAUGAUUAAUCAUCCUGAGUCUGGAGCACGAGAUUACUCUCUGUCGAAAAGCAACCAAUCGCCCAUUCAUAGCGAUCAAUUGCCUCACCUACCUGAUCCAUGUGAAGAUAUUUUUGAUCCGAGUCUCACACCUACAGACAAUACAGAACAACAAGAUGAAGACUCCCCCUCUAACUCAACAGUACCAACAGACCAAUCUCCUGAGAAUAUCCUUGAGGUAACUACUCCUACUAGAUUUGUGCAUUUAAAUGAUUAAACUAUUGGAUAUCAAUUACCUUUCAGGGAAAAUCGUGGGAAGCCAUCAAACCGUUAUGCACCUGAUAUUGGCAAGACAUCCAAGUAUCCAAUUGCAAAUCAUGUAUCCACUGAGAAGCUGUCUGAACAACUCAAGGCUUUUGUGCAUCAGUUGUCUGCGAUCCAUAUUCCAACCAAGGUCUCUGAAGCAUUAAAAUAUCCUAAGUGGGUCCAAGCUAUAAAAGAGGAGAUGAAAGCUCUUGAGAAAAAUCAGACUUGGACAUUAGAGACUAUACCUCGAGGAAAAAAGACUAUCAGAUGUAGAUGGGUGUUUACUAUAAAACACAAUGUAGAUGGAUCUAUCGAGCAAUACAAGGCAAGACUUGUGGAAAAAGGGUACACACAGACAUAUGGUAUAGACUAUGAAGAAACCUUUGCUCCAGUUGCAAAGUCAAACACCAUCAGAGUCUUAUUGUCCCUUGCAGCUAAUUUGGAUUGGCCACUACACCAGUUUGAUGUAAAGAAUGCUUUUCUACAUGGCGUACUCACGGAGGAGGUGUACAUUUACAUUCCUCCUGGAUAUAAUACUACUUAGACUGGAACAGUUUGCAGGUUACGAAAAGCAUUGUAUGGAUUGAAACAGUCACCACGUGCAUGGUUUGGACAGUUCACCAUGGCAAUGAAGAACAAUGGUUCAAACAGUGCAACUCAGAUCAUACUCUACUCUUGAAACAUCGAAAAGGGAAGGUAACAACAUUAAUAAUCUAUGUUGAUGAUAUGAUUAUUACUGGGAAUGAUAAACAGGAAAUAUCACAGCUACAAGACUAUCUGGCUACGGAGUUUGAGAUGAUGGAUCUAGGUGGACUCAAGUAUUUCUUGGGAAUUGAGGUGGCUCGAUCCCAGCAAGGCAUAUUUCUCUCUCAAAGGAAAUAUGUCUUGGACUUGUUGACAGACACAUGAAUGCUAGAUUGUAAACCUGCGAACACUCAUAUUGUUCAGAAUCAUCAUCUUGGAGAAUAUCAUGAUCAAGUUCCAACUAACAAAGAAAGAUACCAAAGGUUAGUAGGAAGAUUGAUCUAUUUGUCACAUACUUGACCAAACAUUACUUAUGCAAUGAGCGUUGUCAGUCAAUUUAUGCACUCUCCAAGUGAAGACCACACGAAUGCAGUUCUUCGGAUACUUAGAUAUUUGAAGUCUGCACCUGAAAAAGGACUUAUUUUCUGAAAGCAUGGUCAUAUAAAUAUUGAUGGUUAUUCAGAUGUAAUGUAACAGAUAGAAAAUCCACAUCCGGUUACUUAACAUUCAUGGGAGGUAAUUUGGUGACAUGGAGGAGCAAGAAACAGAAUGUAGUAGCUUUAUCCAGUGCAGAAGCCGAGUUCAGAGGCAUGACUAAAGGAAUUUGUGAACUUCUUUGGUUAAGAAAGUUGCUUACUGAACUUGGGUAUAAACCUACAUCCACAAUGAUUCUCUUUUGUGACAACAAGGCUGUUAUAGCCAUUGCACAGAAUCCGGUUCAGCAUGAUCGUACUAAACAUGUUGAGGAGGAUCGACACUUCAUCAAACAGAAGCUUGAGGCUAAAAUGUUUCAGUUUUCUUUUGUGAAAUCCGAGGAUCAAUUGGCGGAUAUUUUGACAAAGGUGAUUUCCAGUAAAACAUUCCACAAUUCACUGGAUCAGUUAGGCAUUGGCGAUAUCUAUGCACCAACGUGAGGGGAAGUGUUGGCGUGACUUGUGGAUAUUGACUUACUUUCCUUACACACCAAGAAUUCCUAUUAUAAUUGUAAUUGAUUUACUUUAAUUCCUGAUUUCCUAUUGUAAAUAGAUUUAGGAAUUUAUUAUUUACUUGCCCAUUCAGGUUUCGUUGUAUUAUAAAUAUGACCUCCUACAAGGAGAAUAACAUACAGAAAAUUCCCACAAACAAAUAUUCUCUUAUAGUUUUCAUAUUUUAGCAAGAACUACUCGAGAGUUUACUAAAAGAGUAGUUCAGUAUUCAUCCACAAGCUAUAUACACAAUACACUCUAUAGAUAUGCCAAAAUCAUCGCAAGCUCUAGAUUUUAGGUUCGAUACCUGCAAAAUCUAUUAGAAGGGUGAGUGAAACCACAGUUUAGUAGGGACAUAAACCUUUUCACGGUAAACUGAUAUAAUUAAAUUAAGUGAAAAAUAAUCACACAGCCAAAUAUCACAUUAUUAAUAACAAUGCAUGAAUGCUCUUCAUUUAACCCGUUAAUUCAUAUAAUUAGACAAGCUUCACGACCCAUACCAUGCUUAUACCACUUAGUCCCGAAUGCCAAUUUAUAUGAAUUAACGCCCAUUUCAAUCAUCCCAUAAUUCCCAUUUUGUUAGUCAUCUUGUCUAACUCCCUGUUGCCAGUCCUGAAUCACCAAAAAAAAAAAACCAUGUGCACUAUGGGAUCCCUGAGUACUAGUACCUGGCAAGAGUUAGACUCAACUACACAAAAGAUCAUUUCUAUUACCCUCUUAUCCACCAUUAUUUUCUCAACUUCAGAAUUCUAGCCAAAUUCCAUGACAUGAUAUAAUUAAAAUUAUGCCUUCACAACAAUGUGCCCAUUUAAAACAUCACUAAUGCACAUAUAAUUAUGCCCACAUUGUUCAAAUAGUUAAGAGUACGUAAAUACCCAAUACAUGGAACGUCAAUCAAACAGUACCACGCAUAAUAUAAUGCUCAAGAAAUUUAAUUAAAUCAAUCUCUGUAAAAGGCCCCUAAGAAACCCCUGCCUUGAUACUAAAGCUUUUGCUAGACCUAUAAGGUGUUUUCCAAUUUUCCACCGCAUUCACAAACUCUGUCUUCUACUUUUUUUCUUACUUCUCUCUACCACUAUUUCUUUCUCGUUUUCUUUGUUUUCACUUGUUGUGCAACUUAAUGUCCUAUAUAUAUACAAGGAACAAGUCGGCAGUAAGUGAUUUCCUAUUGGAUGGUGUAUUCGGUUGUUAUAAACUUACUAGUAAUAGUUAUCAAUGUAGUUGCAGAUGAGGAAGAAUGUUUUUGUGACUCUUCCAAUCCCUCUAAUCCUAUUUCUUAUCUUCUUGGUGAGUUGAUAGCCUCGAUACUUAACAGAUUUUAUACUUUGACACGUAUUAACAAGAACUAUUUUAAAAACAUAUACAUAUAUAUAUAUAUAAUAGAAUAUGUAUAUAUGUAAUACACAUAUUUAUAUAUAAUAAGAAUAAUAUAUAUGUAAUAAGAUAUAAAUAUUUAUUAGAACAGUAUAUAAAAUAAUAUAUAUCAUUCUUAUUAUAACAAUAAUUUUAAUUUUCCCAAAAUAAUAUAUAUUUAAAAAUAUGUGGUUUCACAUGCAUGUCCUUUUUGCUAUAGACACUAUUACAAAAAUCGAAAUAGACAACGGAAAACUACCGUCGUCUGGAAAGUUUUCAAACAGUCGUGAAAUCGACUGUCGUCUCUUUUACAUAAAACAACGACGGCUAUUAACCAACGUCGUUAAUACAUUCCACGUAAAAAACUAUUAUAAACCGACGUGUAAUUACUAUAUAUAUAGCCUAAAAUAAAAUCUUCAACAACCUUAGACGACGGUUUUAUUAAAACUGACACGUCUAAAGAGUGUUACAUGUCAAGAUCAAAACAAGAACCGACGUACAGAUAAUUAUCCACGUCCUAAUUGAAGUAAAAUAGACUUGGAUAACCUAGAAACCGUCGUGGUUAACAUAUACUACGUUAAAUUAACAAAGGCACUUACGUCUAAAAAGUAAAAGACAACACGCGCACAAAGCAACAGACGUUUAAAGCUUAGUACAUGUCAAUAGCCGCUCAAUAACCGCAGUAAAAUGAAUUAACCACGUCCCACAUAUGGCAGAACUGUUGCUUAUGUGAUUAUCCACGUCGCGGAGUAGUAGAACAAAGACGUUGUAACCAUAUUCCACGUCUGUUUCUUGUGAGAAUUGUCGUUUAAAUUAUACAAAGAAGCCCCUUUGACAGAGUUAGACGUUGCUCUUGCUGUAGAACCGACUUCUAACAGGUUUAAAAUGACACAAUAUUACUUAAUACUGCCGUAACAAAUCAUAUCCACGACUGCUGUUGUCAAAGACUGACGUUACAAAAAAUAUUGAAGGUGUUGACAAAAAAGAACCGACAUGGAUUAUGCAUUCAACGUCGUGUGGUCUAAAAAUAAAGGACGUGGUUAAUUUUUUCUCUACGUCAAGUGGAUCCAAUUGCCUGAUGUUGUAAUUCUUUACCAUGUUGGUUUUUAAUACAUGAUGAUGUGGUUGUCCUUUUAAAAGUCGCUUGUUUUACCCUCCUUGACGUGUGUAUGAUAUGAGACGUCAAUUGUUUUAGACUAGCUGACGUGCAGAAAAUCUGUCACGACAAUUAAUGCAACUGAAUUGCCUCUAUUUCCCCCAGACGACGGUAGGUUUUAAGUGUGGAAGUAGUGUUUUACAAAAUCGUAAGUUGGAGUAAUCUACCAUCGUGUUAUUCGAGAAUAUACCACGAUCUUUGUUUUGUACUCGGUCGCUGAUGUUUAUACUACUUAAUAAACUGACAUGUUUUCAGUUUCAGACGGCGGCUUUUGUUUCUUUAUGGUCUUUUGCAUUUUUUUUCCAUGACAUUUUUGAAAGCCUAAUGUUGGUUUUAUUUUAGAAAUCGAUUUUUCCCCUUUUUUUACUGGACCGUCGUACUUUACACAUUUAAUCAAUUUUUUUCAAUUUUUGAUUCAUCGUGCCCAAAGCCUACAUAACGAAAAUGUGAUCAGAAUUAAAAUGAUGUACAAAGGUAUUAAUUAAUGUCAUACAAUUAACUGAAUAACUAAUGUCAUACACUACAACAAUCAAUCAAUCCAUAUAUCUUCACACCCAUCUUUAAUAUUUUCACUCCCAAACUCACCCACUAGGUCAUCAUAUGUGUCAACAUUUGGUAUCCCUCUAGUAAAUGUCUCACACUCAAUUCUAAUAUCACCUAGCACAUCAUCACCAAUAACAUUAUUAUAUUCUCUAUUAUGCAUUGAUAACACUACCGACCAACCACGAUGCAUUGGGUCGUCAGCAUAAAAUACUUGUUUUGGUCAUUCCUAUGUCCAAUUUUACUCAAAUCUACAAAGGUGAAUCCAAGUUCAUCGACAACAAGGCCCAAAGUGUUAUCUAUCCAAUCACACCUCAAGACAAGGAUUCUAAACUUUUGGUAGUCAAGGUCCCAAAUUUCUUGAAUAACACCAUAAAAACCCAUAUUGGAGACAAUAGAGUUUUUAUCCUUAGCACUAGCAACUUGCAUAGUAUGUGCAAGUAAAUAAACUCCACUAUUUUGGACAGUUCGCAUAUCAUCUUGUGCCUUGGUGUUAAAUUUAACACCAUUAAUAAGAUAGCUCCUAUAUGAUGGCAUUGCCAUGCUUGGACUAGCUGCUAGCCACCUCAAAUUUUAUGAUACGCCAUUAUGCUCUUCCCCAUUAAGUUCACUUUGAACUUGCAAAUUAAUCGUAUAUAUCCUAAUUCGAUCUAACAUAUAAAAAGGAAGAAAAUUAAAAGUUGAAUAUGUCAUUCAAUAACAUAUAUACUUGAAAGUGUAGCCAUUGAAUGAAAGUGCUAUUGUGCUUAUCUUGCAGCCACUUUGUUCUCUUUCUAAAUAUUGGAUAAGUGGUCUUGAUGUGGAUCAUAUGUUCCAUACAUUGACACGAAAAAAUCAAGCAUUACGGUCCCUUGUAUAUAAGAUAACAUAAGGAAUAAUAAUAUUUAAAAUGGCUCUAUAUGAAAAAUGGAACUCAUGCGUACUCGAUAUAAGGUAGGACUUCCUCAGUAUUCUCCAAGACAUAUAGAUGUGUCUGGUUCAAAAAACCCGAUCACCUAAGCUUACUGUGCAACCAGAUAAUGGCUUUGAAACUCCCAUCUUCUAGCUUGAAGGCACUCCAACUGUACUAACAUCAGAUAAAUGCUCGGUGCAAAACUCUACAACUUCUUCAGCUAUAUACCGCUCAAUAAUGCAACAUCCGGGACGAGUACGGUUCUGAACAAACCUAUUUAGCACUUUCAUAUGUCUUUCAAAUGGAUACAUCCAUCUAAAAUAUACUGGCCCAUGUAGACGAACUUCUCUGACAAGAUGUACUACUAGAUGAACCAUGAUAUCAAAGAAUGAAGGGGGAAAGUACUUCUCAAGCAAACGCAACGUAACUACUACAUCUUCUUCCAAAUUAUCUAGCUUGGAAACAUCUACUGUCUUUGCACAUAUAGCAUUGAAGAAGAAGCACAAUCGAGUUAUUGCAUACCUUGCAGGCUUCUCCAAACAGAACGAAUUGCCACAGGGAGCAAUUGUUGCAUCAAGGCAUGAAAAUUAUGAGAUUUAAGGCCAAGAAGUCUUGAAUAUUUUUAAGAUACAAGAUUUUUUUAUAUUUGAACAAUAACCUUCAGGGACUUUCAUACCAUAGAAAGAAUUGCAAACCGCUCUCUUAUCUGCUCUUGACAAAUUCUAGGGCCUUGGAGGCAAGCGAGUACGUCUUUCUCAAUACUCGGGUUGCAAAUCAUUUUUGACCCCCAUGUUCAAUAAAUCUAACCGAACAGCAAUCUCAUCUUUAUUUUUUCUAGGGAUCUCCAGCAAUGUACCAAUGAUACUAUCGCAAACAUUCUUCUCAAUAUGCAUAACAUCUUGGACAUGCCUCAUAGGAAGGUAUUUCAAAUACUCGAGAUCAAAGAAUUUUGAUUUCUUAUUCCAACAAACUCUGUCACCAUCAUUCUCAAAAACACUUCCCCCAUUUUUCGAGCCCCAUAUGUAAUUAAUAUCUUCAACCAUGUCCUAUUCAAGUUAAUGGUUCGGGAGGCGUGCCAUAUUCAAGUUUUCCAUUGAAAGCUGCACGCUACCUCCGACAUGGAUGAUUGAUUGGUAACCAUUUUUUAUGACCAAUGUAACAAAUUUUGGGGCCAUUUUCAACCUGUGACUAGGUGUAUCAUCGCCGCAUAUUGGACAAGCUUUAUAUCCUUUAACGACACUGUAACACCCCGACUCUAAAUUAAUCCCUUAUUUAAUUAUUUAAAGAAAAUUACAAAUUUACCCUUAAGAUAGGGGUAUUUUGGUCAUUUUCUUACCCGAAGAGAGUUUGGGGCAGUGACUAGUAUUUUUGGAUAGGUCGUACUGAGACGAGUUCAUAGACACGUAGUGGGCUCGAAUCGAAGUUGUAACGAGAGAGAUAUGGUCAAAAGAAACCCAAUUGCACAAUCAUAAUUAUUUCGAAAUGAGAUUUUUAUAAAAAUCAGAUUUUUUUUUCUCUCUCUCUCUCUCUCCUCGUCGGUCUCUCUCCCUCUCCUCGAAACUCCGGCCAUCGGCCACGGCUGUGGACGGGGCCGGUACCAAAAUGACCGAGGCGUUGUCCUCCUCUAAUCCCAGCUAGGUCCCGCCGUCAGCCGCCAUGGUUUCGCCGGAAAAUGGAGAAGAAGCGGCCGGCGUCGUCCGAAGUUCUCCGCCGUUGAUCUCCCUCUUCCGGUCACCGAUUCCGACGAGUGAGGUAUGGUUUCUCACCUACUUUUCAUGCUCUAGCUGCCUGCUGGGUAUGAUUGGAUUGAUUUUUAGCGUAGGCAAUUCGAUUUUCGCAUUGAAAUUCGGCUAAUUUUGGAAUCACGAUUCCGGCUAGUUCUGGUCAGUUUUUGGGGUAGAUCCAAGAACAAAAGUGGCUCCAAAUAGGGUGUUAUACCUAGGGUAGGAGUUUGGAGCCAUGGUUUUGAGAUUUUCCGGCGAUACGUAAUCGCUUUAGACACCCAACGCUGCCCGCACGUGUGGCAGUGCGUGGGCGAGGGUAGUGAAAUAGCACUAUGUCUCGAUGAGAUCCUUAGGUUGUCACGAGUGCGUAGGAUUUCGCGGAUCUCAAUUCGGACGUCGUUUGACUAUCGAACGGAUUUUCGUAUAUUGCGCGUCAUCCGGGUUCGAUAGGUUGGGACCGUUGGAUGGUCUCGAAUAAAAUAUAUGUUAAUCUAGGUAUUUCUAGGAUCAUGUAGGAAUUCACGGAUUAUAAAUCGGAGCCCCGGAUAUUCCGAAUAAAUAAUUUAAAGUUUAUGUUUUAUAAUAACCGUCACAUCGUGCGAUCGUGAGCGAUCCGACCGGCCGAUCUGGACCAAACUUACAGAACGAGUGUCCUAUACCUUGAAGAACCCAUAGGAAUUUUCAGAUCGAAAUUUGGAGGUCGUGGGCCCCGUGGGCCCAUUUGACUAGGGGUAGGGUAGUUUGACCCUUAGUUGACCGUGAGUCUCCCGGAGUAAUCUCACCUUUCCAGGGGGAUUAUCGGGUGCUAGACUGUUGUUGAGGUUUACACGAUAUUAGUAGUAAAUUAUAUAUUUAUAUACAUUUGUAAAGGUAAAAAAUAAGUCCAGAAUGUCAGUUUGAAGUGCUUUACGCACUACCUUAGGUACCUCCCCGGAUUUUAGUUACACUACAAGUACCACCCUAUGAAAGUUAGGUCCCACGUGGCGUAGGUUAUCCGGCGUGCGGACAGGCCCUAUACGUGGCAUUGGUAGUAUCGGUGUAUGGGGAGAUUACGUGAUAAUAUGUUGAGGUCACACGUGGCGUAGGUUAUCCGGCGUGUUGACAGACCCCAUACGUGGCGUUGGUUGUACCGGCGUAUGAGGAGAUAUUGUGAUAUGAUAUUCAGGUCUCGCGUGGCGUAGGUUAUCCAGCGUUGAGACAGACCCCAUACGUGGCGUUGGUUCUACCGGCGUAUAAGGAGUUUAUGUGAUAUUAUGUUGAAGUCGCGCGUGGCGUAGGUUAUCCGGUGUGUCGACAGACCCCAUACGUGGUGUUGGUUGUACCGGCGUAUGGGGAGAUAUGUGAUAUGAUGUGCAGGUCUCGCGUGGCGUAGGUUAUCCGGCGUUGAGACAGACCCCAUAUGUGGCGUUAGUUGUACCGGCGUAUGGGAAGAUAUUGUGAUAUGAUAUUCAGGUCUCGGGUGGCGUAGGUUAUCCGGCGUGUUGACAGGCCCCAUACGUGGCGUUGGUAGUACCGGUAUAUGGGGAGAUUAUGUGAAAUACAGAGAAAUGAAAUAAGGUAUUGCCUAUGUGUGGAAUUGGGUUUUAAGGAAGAACUACGUGUGGCUUGAUCCCUCAGGGAGGGUACGUAGGCAGCCUAAGGUUAUUAGGUGUAGCCGCGGACAUAGACGUGAUUGUGUUAGGAGGUUAAAACCUCGUAUGUUGAAAUUGAGAAAAUUAGAUGAUGUAUGUUGAAAUUUAGUAGUCGUAAUUUAUAUUUAAAUUUAUCGUUUGCCUUGUUUAAGGCAUGAAUUGAUUUGCUAGCAUGCUUGGUAGUUGAGAAUUAUAGAAAGGCCGAAGGCCGUUUAUGUGAAUUGCAUGGAAUUAUAUUGUGCAUGCUGCCAGUUGUAGUUAUUAAAUGUGUUUUUAUGCAGGUUGAAAUUUUGGGAAAUGUCCAAUUUACAGGGGAGACUCUGCCGAAAUUUCGGCAGAAAGUCUCGGUCUUUAGUAAGUGGGCCUGACAUCGAGGUGAUGUCGGGGAAUCCACAGGAUCCGCCUCGAUUUUUGGAAAAAUCGGGGCGGUUCCUUUCAGACACAACCAGAUAAGUUCUCAUAGGCAGAAAAAUCAUUAAUUGUUCACAGUAAUACACCUAUGAGUGUAAAGUAAUCUCCUAUGUGUGCAUCAUACACUCCUUUAAUCCCAUCCCACAAAGAUUUUAAAUCAUCAAUCAGAGGCUCUAAGUAGACAUCUAUAUCAUUUCCAUUCUAUUUAGGACCAGAAAUCAAUAAGGUCAAUAUCAUGAACUUCCAUUUCAUGCAUAGCCAUGGUGGGAGAUUAUAUGUAACUAAGAUAACCAACAAUUGUAUCUGCUACUUAAAGAACUGUGGGGAUUGAAUCCAUCAGAUGAGAGAGCCAAUCUCAAGUUUCUUGGCUCUUUACUGAACUCGGGCCAUUUAUCAUCAACAAGUUUUUAAGACGGGAAAUUCGCUGGAUGAGACAUAUGACCGUCAAUUGCUUUUCUAGCAACAUGCCAAGUCAAACUCUUAGCUGUCAUAUGUGAUUGAAACAUCCUUUUAAACCUUGGAAUUGGAGGAAAAUACCACACCACCUUCGCUGGCACACUCUUUUUCAAGAUUGAAUCUUUGCAUUCCUUCCACCUUGAGAUACCACAAGUAGGACAAUUAGUUGAAUCUUCAUAAUCAUUCCUAUACAAGAUGCAGUCAUUGGGACAUGCAUGGAUAUUCUCAUAACUCAUCCCUAAAGGAGAUAAUGUCUUUUUUGCCUCGUACAUAGAGGAAUAUAGUGUCUUUCCUUCUGGAAGCAAAUCUCCUUGAAGUAUCAAUAAUUCUAUAAAACAAACAUCACUCAUCCCAUGUUUUGCUUUCAAAUUAUAUAACUUCACCAAAGCCGACAACAUCGUGUACUUACUGCAACCAGGGUACAAGGAUUGAUCUCAAUCCCCAAUCACAUUGGCAAACUCAUAAGGAUCAAAUCCAAUAUCGCCUAAAUCAUUAUCAUCCAUCCCUACUUCUUUAGAAACAAAACUGAACCUACUUUGCUCAUCUUCUUCCACAUUUCUACUAGCAUUAGUAGUCAAUUCCCAAGGUUCUCCGUGCCAUGUGCAAAUCUGAUAGCUUUAGUCAAUUCCAUUAAAGUAUAAGUGGUCCCUCAUAAUUCCAACCCCAAACAAUCGAAUAUUCCCACAUUUAACACAUGGACAACGAAUAUGAGUUGUAUUUCCAAGAUUUUCUACAGCAAAAUUCAAAAAUCCUUCCACCCCUAACUCAUAUGCCUUCGGUCUUCUAUCCGCAUGCAUCCAUGACUUAUCCAUCUCACACACUAUAAAAUCAUAUAUAUAAUAAAGUGAAAAGACCAGCAAUGAAACACUACUUUAUUCACAUAGCAAAGAAUGAAUUGAAAAAAAAAAUUAACCAAGAAUCAGACGACGGUUUUUACAAAAAAAAUCGUCCUGUAACAGAGGGUCAGACGACGGCAUAUCUAGUUAUCGACGUCUUUAAGCUACCCAAACCCAGAUAUUUGUAUUGCUUUUUGAAGAACCGGGUUCUGGGUUCUGGUAAACAAAAGAUGACGGUAAAUGGAGAAACACCGACGUAUCCUAAAACUUGAGACGACGGUUUAUUUCACCAACCGUCGUCGUAGUUUACGAAAAACAGAAGUCUAAAUCUCCCAUCCUCAUUCCUUUUCUAAGAACCCUUAACAAAAUGCAAACAUCAAAAUAUAAAAGAGCCAUAUAUAGCUCCCAAUUAAGAAACCAAAGCUACCAAAACAUAUAUUAAUAAACCAAAGCUACCAAAAUGAACGAAAACAUUUAUGGGUUUUACAAACUAAGAGAAUAUUGAGAGAGAGCUGAGAGAAUAUACUUACAUGGAUAUUGAGAGAGAGCUGAGAGAAUAUAACAAAUGCUUGAGAGAGAGCUUAGAGAAUAUACACAAUGCUUUGAGAGAGAGCGAAAAAUUUAAGACAAAUUUAUGUUGAAGAGAGAGAAGGAAAUAUUUUAGGGUUAAAGGGAAAUUCUGAAAAUUUUAGAUCACCGUCAAAAUUUUCAAAGGACCGCGUUUUUCAAAGACGGCUAAGGAAAACUACCGCCAUUGUAAAUCAUUUUACUACGACGGUUGAGGAAAACUACCGCCAUUGUAAAUCAUUUUUAUGUCGCCUCUAUAAAAACCGACGUCUAAAAUAUUAAAUAAUUAGAUUUGGUUUGCAUUUCGUGGGAUUCUAACGUGCGUAAUUGACCAAAAAGAGCGAGAGAAAACCAGCGUCGUUUCUAUAAAACCUAAACCCUAAACCCUAAACCCUAAACUCUAAAACCUAAACACUGAAAAAAUUAACCAAAAAUUGCUAUGGACUCCUUACAACAAUGCCUUCUAUAUUAGUAGGCUAAAAUCGGGAUUAAAUAAUUUUGAAUUUUAUGACCACCAAUGGAUCACAUAAACCUUAGGGUUAUGUUUAUGGAAAGUAUAAGGAUUAUUGUGUUUUGUCUCUAAAUCUUUUUUACUUUUGUUAUCACUUGUAACUUUGAAAUCUAAAAUUAAAAUUUUCAGGCCUUUAGGGGGGAGAUAUUGUCUCAAUGUGUUUAUAGAAUUUGAGACUGCGAAGGUUCUAGCUGAUUGACUAAGGAUGAGGCAGGAUGGAUGGAAGGUUUGCUUGGAGAUUCUACCUUUGUCAGCUCUUCUGGUUGACAUGUUGUUUAUUCUGCCUGAGGAACUACUUCUAGAUUUUUCCCUUUUCUAGCAGAACUAGUCUCUGGAAGUACUUGUGUGUCAUCCUUAUUCUUGAGGAAGACGCAGUAUUGCCUUUGAACUCUCCUCUUUUGCAUUCUGGUUAGCUUCAGAGUUGGUCUUCGGCUUUUUCCAAUAGAAUAUCAUCUACCUUCUAUGAUAGUUGCAAAGGGCUUGUCAUUUCCAGGCAUCUUAACUGGUAUUUCCUUCUUUGGCUGCUCUAUUAUUCUCUUGUUGCGUUGGGCAGGCCUUAAAUAGUCCUUCUGUCUGGCUCUAUCUCUAGGUGGAGCCGGAACUAGGCCUUGUUGGUAUGAUGUUCCAAUCCUGUCAAAAACACAAGGUGUGGGCUGACUUUGCCUAACCAGAGUUACCUCUAACUCACUUUCACAUUUGCACCUGUUGCACAAAACUACCCCAGCCGAAAUGGUUGCUUUUGGUCUUCAAUUAGCCUAUCUUUGGACUCUUCUGCCUAUGCUGGGGCUAACUUUUGCUGUUAGUUUGCCUUUCUUUUGUUUUGGCCAAUUUAAGUUGACCAUGUUGACUUGAGGUUGGGGAAAAGGGUCUGUUGUUAUCGAAUGAGGUUUCUCAGCCAGUUUUAGCCUCCAUGCUGUUAUUCCUUCCUGUAUGACGUCCCUGAAAACAACACAACUAUUGGUGGAAUGGUCCCAGGAGUUAUGCCAUCUGCAAUACUGUCUGCCCUUGAGUUCCUCUAGCUUGGGCAACUUGUAGGGUGUUUCUAUUGCCUUCUGUCGCAGCAUGUCAUCAAACAGGGCAUCAACCUUGGUUAAAUCGAGGGAAUAGACUUUGUUAUGAGCUGGUUUGUUUGGAACAAACCCUCUUGUGAAUGGUGGUGGCUUUUGGUCCUUUGGUGGCUUUGUUAAAGCCUUGCAACUGAUGAGAUGUUUUAAUUUCCCCAUUUCUGCCACUGCAACUUCUCUCUCCUCCGAGCUUUCUAUGCCUUCUUCUGAUUCUACCUCAACAAGAUUUACUGAAGAGGAUGGGGUUUUGUAAUAUGUGCCUUUGAAAGAGUUCCUCUUCUAUUGUUCUUCCCUGAGCAGCUCCUUGUAUUUAGAUGCUUUGUCUGCUAGUUCUGCCAGAUCUCCAAACAGCAUCCCAUCAAAUUUUUUUCUCAGAGAGAUUUUAAGGGAGAUUUGAGCCAUUUGGAUGAAGUGCCCUUCCUCCAUAGGGAUUCAAAAUUUCAUUUUGAGCUUUUUGAACCUGGUUAUGAAGUCUUGGGCAGGCUCAUCUUCCCUCUAUUUCCAGGUUUGAGGGCAGCAAGAUCACUGAUGGUGACUUCUGGCUGAAUCCUAAAAUAGUAGUCAUGGAAGACAUUUUCCAUCUAUUUCCAGGUUUGAACAGAAUUGGCUGGUAAGCUAGUAUAUUAGAUGAAGGCUUGUCCAGAGAGAGAAUUUCGAAAAAGCCUUAGUUUUAACAGAAGGUUAUUUUCUAUGGCUAUGCACUGGAAAGAGAAUCUGCCUAUAUGCUUAACUGAUGAAGCAUGGGUGUCUUCUCCGUUGAACAAGGUGAAGUGUGGUACCUUAAAGCCCAGGGAUAGAGGUAUUUGAUCGAUAUAAGCUGGAUAAGGCUUUCUGUAGGUGGGCCUUUCUCCUCUUCUGGCCUCAGGUUCCAUCAUCUCUCUGAUCAUUCUAUAAAGUGCCCCCAUGUCAUUCAAAGCAUUGACAUGAUGCGGGGUUCGCCCCUGUUCUGGCUAGUUGUGUUCAAUCCUUUGUUCUACUUUAUAUGGCCUGGGCAGAACUUCCUCCCUAUGCUCUUCCUCUUUUUCGAAAUCUGGAUGAUUCCUUUAGUUUGCCCCCGGUCUGUUUUUGUCAUUGUUGGCAAAGGGUUUAACUCCUACUCUACCUCUCAUGCCACUUGCUAGUGGAGGGAAUGGAUUGGGGUCCAUCCUUCUAGGUCUGUAGGGCAACACAACUGGUUGCUCAGGCAGAAGUGCCAAGGCCUGAUCACGUGGGGCCACUAGUUGUGGAAUAGGUGGAGGUUCUGGCUAGUUCUGAGGGGGUCUGAACUGGUGCAGAGCCUUCUGGAUGAACUGAAUCCUCAUGUUCUUGGAUGGGAAGGGCUCCUCCCCUCUGUCCAGCUUGGAUUUCUCCAUGUCCUGGUAUUCCAGCUAUCUGUGUGAUGAGAGGCUUCUCUUCAUAUGGCCAUGCCAGUCCUGGUAGAGGUCCAAAAGGGAGAUCUAGCUGCUGGACCACCAUGUCUAGGUUUGGAAUUUUGGCAAUAGUAGCCUCACGGUCCUUCCUGAACUGCCUGUUGACUUGCCAUUACAUCAUGGUUGUCAUGUUGUUUAGAGUAUCUUGGCUCAUUUGUGCUGUGGCUUCUUGCCGAAACACAGCCUCCUGUAUCUAGUUUAACCUUCUGGAACCAGACAUGGAACGUCUACUCGUGGUACUGCCAUGGGCUGAUUACCUAGCAUCACUUUCUUUUGACUCAAGUCCUUUUCGGAGAGCUGCUUGAUCUCUUUUCAUGGCAUAGCGUGGAUUCUGGCUAGAACUUCCAAUAUUCAUAUACUAGAGGAUUUUUCUAGAAAUAUAUGUAUUGAGAAGUCCCACUGGGCGUGCCAAAUUGUUCAUCCGUUUUAGAUUUGUUCCUGUGAUGGUAGGGUAAAGUUCCUCAUUGACUUGAAAACCAUUGGUGGUCAAUAAGUCAACUUUCUUUUGUGUACAAAUGUGCCACUGCUAGCAAUAAAAACCCUAGCAGACUUCUUAAAAAUAGAAAACUUGUGCCCAAGUUAUUAACUUCUAAAUAAGCGAUUGUGAAUUUGGGCGAGGAAUAUCUCCCAAGUAAGUUCUUUUCUUUGCCUCAGAUUGGUGAGGACUUCACAAUUUUUCACAGUACAAAACUGGUAGUUCUAGCUAGAAUAAAUGAUAAGAAAGUGAACUGUUUUCAGGCAGAACUACCUUUUACAAAGCUUAAAAAGGAAGACCAACUCUAAAAAGACAAAAAGAGCUUUUGGACUUCAAUUUCUGCUUGGAUAAAUGCUUCUGAUCCGGGCUGGACUGGGUAUGUUUGUGCUGGACUGGACUAUCAACACCUUCAACUGUCAAGUUUUAGCUGUCAAUGAAUACCAAUGUUCGAGUGUGGCAAAGCUUCAAUCUAUUUCAAGCCGUGCAAGGCUUUUUGAACGGACAGAAUUGGAACCUCUUCAGUCUGGAAGGGGUAGAAGUGGCUGAAUUUGGUGAUUACUGAGCUGGAACUGCACUGUAGUACCUGUUCUGCUUGAUCAGGGCUCUCCAUAAAUUUGUUGAGGUUUUAAUAUUGGUAAAACCCGAAGCUUAUGUUGAACCAACUUUGUAACGAGAGAAAUCUUGCUUUGAAUGACUAUUUCUCUGAAACUAAACAGAAGUUAGAGAUUCUGGAAUAUAGCUGACUUGUUUCUUAUGGCUCAAUGAGCUUUUGGUUGCUUCAGUGUUUUGAAGGCUUUUGAGAUCAAGUGAUCAUUUUGAGUUUUUAUUUUUGAUUGAUUUUUUGGCUGUCCUUUUAUCUGUUCACCUCAUCUCAUAUUUAUAGAAUAUACUGGAGUGUGAUUUCUAAUCUUUUAAUAAUGGGCGGCAAAUCUUUUAAAAGAUCUUUUUUUCUUUUUUCAAUGUCAUAAGAGAAGGAAGCUACUAUUCUGACAGAGAAAGGUUGUCAACAAUCAUCUUUCAAUUUUUCUAUGUUCACUUUUUGUUCUUUGUAAAGAGAAAGAACACAAUCUACCAUGAUGGUCAGUGUGCUUUUCCUGUUGAACAACUCCCUCGUUCUCUACUUAUCUCUUGAAAACGUAGUCUGCUUAUCUCUUGGAAAGACCACCUGAUUUGGUGCAGAGCUUCUCUAUAUAUAUAUAUAUAUAAAGGGAUUUUGAUCUUCUUCUUUUGGCUGAAAAAAUAGAGAAGUCUUUCUGUAAGACCUGCCUUCAUUAAUUUUCUAUCAACUUCUCUGUAAUAGUUGAAAAUUUUGACUUUUCAAAGCCAGGUAUUCACGUGGGGUUGUUUAGAAAAGAUCUGUUGAUUUUGUCAAUCUUUUAGGGUAGAGAUUAAAUAGCGUAAAAAGGCUGGGCUAGUCUCUUUUUCUUAGUAGAUAAAAAGCCCAAAUAUUUUGUCUCACUGCCCUUUUCUGGAAAAUAAAUGGGCUGGGUGUGUUGGAAAUUGGCCCAAUCUUAAGAAAGACUCUGGUGGCUGCCCAAAAUUGACAUAGGCUUUUCUUGAUUUUGGGCUGGGCAUGCCAAAUUAGGCCCAAACAAUGCCCCUUAAGUCUGAAUUGUUUUUGGAAUAGUUUCAGACUUAAUGAUUUGGCCAUUAAUUUGUGCGCGCCAUUUCCUUCUGUUAGCCCACAUCUGCCACGUCUGCCUAUUAUGAUCAAGACUUCGUGGGAAAGUGGGCAGUUACUAGCUAGUUAUUAUCAGGUGGCGUCUUGUCUUCUUCUUCCCACGAUUUCGAGUCUUUCUAAGAAAUUUAAAAAGACCUCAGCUCCUGUUUACUCAAAACCUAACUUCUUCAGACCUUGAUUUUCCUCAGUUUUCUCAGAAUUUUUACCCUUUUCUGCGAUCAAACCCUGCUUCCUUUCAGUUUGAUUCCCCUAUCCUAGCUCAAAACCCGAAAAUGUCUUCUCCAAAAAAUCGUGCCCAGACUUCUUCUUAUUCUGUUCCUCCUACCUACAUUACUGGGGCCGGUGUUGAUAAGCAUGUGAUUGAAGUCCGGAGCAAGCUUCAUCCUUUUGCCCAGAACGUUCUGGACAAGAACGUGUUACAUUUGUUCGAGAACACUCUUGUUUUGGAGCCUCAUCGGUUUGGUUCUGUCCCGACUGAAAUGGCAGAAUUGUUUAAAGAAUAUACUGAAGCUCCUCUAUGCUUUCAGAGCUCUUUCGUAGAUUUCAGUUUUAUAUAUAAACUAUCGUGUUUCUCCCUAUAACAUGUCGUUUUUAAGAAUUGUUGUCAAUGUUUUAUUUCCUGCUACUAUAAGACGGCGAUUAUUUAUACAUAUGAGACGUGUAAAUUAGAAUGAGACGUCAGUCUUUGGGAUUUAAAUUAAGUUUUUACGAUUUAAUGUCAUUUUAGUUCAUAUAAGGACAUAAAUGUCCUAACCAAAAAUAUAUUUAUGUACAUUGUCAAUAAAUUAAAAUAAACCUAAACAUUGUUAAAAUAAAUUAGAUCACUUAUUAUUCUGUAAUUACUUGUUAACGAAUUCAGCCCAUUCCAACCUGACUUCGUCAAUAUGUUCUUAUACAUACUGAACUGGUUCCUUUUUCUUAUCAAACUGCAAAUAAAUAACAAAAACCAACGUGUUAUAAAGAUUACAACGACUGCUUUUAAAGAAAAAGUUGUGGUACUAAAAUAAAGAAUUUAUAUCUUAAGUUUUGCCUUUUACCUUCUUCUCAAAUGCUAGGCCUGGAUCAUGAAUUAUAUCUCUCAUGAAAUGCAUCACGUAAUAGCCACACUCUACAUUUGUUGGUUGUCGAGGAGUGCCAUGUAGAUUUUUCCAUAUGACUGAUUUACAUGAUGAUUAAUUGCCUGUGUGAGAGUUAUACAUUUUGAUUGAACUGUUUCAAGAAAAUGAAAAGUGUUAAUGAUAAAAAUAAAAAUCUAAAGCAAAAAUAUUAAACGUCGUGGUAAAUAAGUGAAGACGAUGGUUUUGUUAAAAAAGUGAUGUUGUAUUUCAUUUCAAACGUUGGUAAAUAAAAACCGUCGUUGUGUAGAAUUCUAACGUCGGUGACGAUGAAAAAUGACGUAUAACCAAAAAUUGUUUGUAAAUGAAAGUUGAACAGAAAAAAAUAAAACUUCCUUAAAUGAAAAACACAAACGACGUGGUAUUUCAAUUAAAAUGACGGUUUACAGAAAAUACUGACGUUGUAAAUGAUUUCAAACAUCGGUUUGAAGUUACCAUCGUGUUUUCAUUGUAACGUCGGUAUUAGAAAAAGCCGUAUAUCAUUCAAAUGCAAAUAAAAAAAUGUUAGAUUUUCAUAGAUAAACUUACAUAUUCACUAUAUUUCUCAUGUCCUCGUCAACAACGCGGUUUGGCAAUGAAUCCAUGUAAUAGAUAGUCUCCUUCGCUGGUCUCACAAUUAUUAACACCCAAUGACCCCUACACAUAAUGAUCCAUAUAGGUUAAAUAUACUAGAAAGAAAAAUAGGCAUCAAGUAUAGUUAAGGGGACUAACCUUGGAUUACAAGGCACCAUGUAAAAUUGAUCCCCAUUUGCGUUUUUCAGGCGGUCUGAGAGAUGUUUCAAACGGUAAGAUAACGUUCCAGAUUGAGAGCUGACUUGUCCAAGGUCCACGAAGCCAAUAAGGUUUACCAUAUUUUCUAUUUUUAAAUAGUCAAAUAGGCACCUAAAUAUAUGAAAUUCAAUUAAAUGAGAUUUUAACUUUAAAGAAAGGAAAUGUAUAAUGCAAUCACUGUGGAUCCAAUCUCAACCAUGGAAGGAAAUUGUAAAAUAUCUUCACACAAGAGGAAGGUAUCAUGGUUAAUGCCAAAGGCUUCCUCUGGAAUGUGAAUUCUAAUGGUCUCGUUAAUGGGCUUCAACUUGGUCUCGACAAAUUGAAAUAAGGCUAACAGAGGAGGUGGCAUGUCUAGCUUUGAGAGAUCCUGUUACAACAAAUAAAUAAAGAAAUAUAAGUUAGUUUGUACACUAAGUAAAAUAAACGACUCUAACUAAACCAAUCAAACCGACGUGGUAUAUAAUAUAAUCGACAGUUUCUAGAACAUACUGAAGGAGUAAAGGUUAUAGACGACGGUAAAGACAUAACCAUCGUUAUGUAAAUGUUCUAACGUCGCUGCAUUAUGGAAAGGUCGUCUAAUUAAAAUGCAGUGAAGCCUUUAUUGAAAUACACGACAGUUUAUAAAAUAAACACCGACGUAGUAAAAUACUGAGACGACGGUUAUCAGCAACGUCUAUUUGAAAUUAUAAAUCAGAAAAAAUCAAAUAUCAAAGAUUUUACCGUUUCAUCUUGCCAUUGUUUAGCAACAUCAGCAUCAUUCGUGGGAUUUUCUUCCUCCAAAACAAGGGGUCUCACAUUAGAGCAGCUUGCUUUGUCAGACAUUAGAUUUUUUGGAGUAAUUGGAGUUUUAUUGAGCAAGUUGGGAUCACAGUUGGGAAUUAGUUGACUGAAUUGUUUCAAUAAAAUUUCCCUCUCUGCUCUGACUGCCUCCAAAACAGUUUCUUUUGCCUUAGCUUUAAUCUUUUUGGUUUCUUCUCUCACUGCCUCCAUAACACUUUCCUUCAAUUUGUUAGCAAAUUUUACUCUCUGCUGUCUCGACAAAUUGAAGAAUUGAGUUGGGGAAACCCCAGCUCCAACACCUCUAACUCUCCCACCAUGCUCAGGGGUUCCCAAAGCCAAGGUCAAAAUAUCGUUGCUCUCAGAGACAGCAGAGUGCCCUCGGAAACUUGUUUUUUCAAAUCAUCCUAAAAGUGAGAGAGAGAGAGAGAGAAUGUUAGUGAGUGAACAGAUAGUAAAACAGAUUAAAUAAACAACUAUACAAAAAUAUUAACCGACGUGGUAAAGACUUUAAAAAACUGAAAUCAAUCCCCAAUAGUAACAGGGACCAUGCAGCAACGAUUUGGUUGACAGUAGUAUAGGUUGGAGAUGCUGUUGAUCAUUAGAUACUAUUUUUUUAAAUAUCAAUUCUGUAACAUCCAGACCUAAAAAAUUAAUGAUUUUGAUUUAAAAUUAAAUUUAAAUAAGCAAUUACGAAUUUACCCUUGGGGAAGGGGUAUUUUGGUAUUUUUUUUUUAUUCAGAAAGAGUUUGGGGCAGUGACUAGUAUUUUUGGGUAGAUCGUACUGAGACGAAUCCGUAGACACGCGGUAGGCCUGAAUCGGAGUUGUAACGAAGAAACGGUGACCAAAAUUAGUCCAGUGGCAAACUUGUAAAUAUUUUGAACUUGGGUGUAGAAAAAUCUGAAACUGGCUUCCUCUCUCCUGCGUGCACACGUCCUUCUCUCUCUCUCCUCUCUCUCUCCUCGAUACCAUCACUCUCUGUCUCUCUCUUCGAUUCUCUCAAUUCUGGCCACGGCAAGGGCCGGGACUGGUUCCGAUCAACUCCUCACAAAGCCCCGAACCAGAACCACCACUUUUCUUGGCCGGAAAGCUCGAGUUUCGCGUGGUAAUCUCGACUGGUUUGAACCAGUUUUCCUCCGUCAUUGUGCCGCCGCCAUCGCAGCCCAAUCUCGGUUAAACAAGUGAGGUUUCUUACUCUUUUUCCGAGCUCUAGCUGCCUGUUGGGUAGGAUUGGAUUGAUUUUUUGUCUAGGAUCCCGAUUUUGAAACCUAAGUUUUGACGAAUUUCAAAGUGAAAUUCCGGCCGGUUGCCGUCCUAAUUAGACCUCCCCGUAGUUGAAUAAAGUGAUCCUCGCUUCGAGUAGUAGCUAAGGUAGGAAUGGUGAAUUGCGGUGUGGAGUUUUUCCAUCACUGAAAAUUACUCUACACAUCCACGCGUUGCCAGGGCAUGUGGAGGCGCAUGGGCAAUGUGGUGAGACCACAUUUUAUCCUGAUGUAGUCUCCUAGUCCUCACGUGCGCGUAAGUGUGCUCGAAUUUCAAUUCGAAUGUUGUUUGACUAUCGAACGGAUUUAUGCAUAUUGUUUCUUAUCCGGGUUCAAUAUGUUCGGACCAUUGGAUCGAGUCCAAAUUUACGUAUGUUAAUCUAGGCACCCCUAGGAUCAUGUGCGAAUUCGCGGAUCGUGAAUCGGAGCCCCGAAUGUUCCGAUUCAAUAAUUUGAAGUUUAUGGUUUGCGAUAACCGUCAAUUUCUGACCAAACCUACAGGACGUGUUUCCUAAACCCGUAGUCGGACCUUAGAAUACUCGUUAUGCGUGCACGCACCGGGAACUUGAGAAAAUUAGUAUUUAAUUUGUAAAUUCCGUUUUGAAGUGAUUUUUUAUUAAUUAAGGGUGCGUAUCUCGAAAUAGGUGCUCCAUCACUAGCACGCAGCAGGUAGGACCCUCUUGAGGUCAGGCAGUGUGGGACUACUUGUGAGUGGACAUUUAUUUUAUAUAUGCAUUAUUUUCAAUGAUUGAAAGAAUAUGCAUGAAAUAUAUAUAUUUUUUGGAAUAAAGAUUGAGAAAUUCAUAUGUUGUUAUAUCAGUAUUAUUUAAUUUAGAAUUUGGUUUGAUUUGAUGAUGAGUUAUAUAAAGGUCAAGUUAUUCGUGAUUAAGUCUUGGAUGAAUUUUGGGGGAAUCGGGAAUUGAAUAUUAUGGUUUAUGGUGGGAACUUAUAUGAUUACACUGUGUGGAGUACCAUCCCCUAGUUACUAGGCUUCCCACAUGUGGCGUUGGAAAUUUUCCAGCGUGUGAUGAUGUAGUCUGCACGCAUAGGACUUAGUAUUGGAGCUACACGUGGCGUUGGAAUUUCCGGCAUGUAAGCUAUGGAGUUUCGUCCCCCGGUUGGACCGCUCAUCCCUAGACGCAGGAUAGCAACUGAAAAUCUUGCGGGUUAGCCAAACAAUCCCCCGGUUGGAUUGUUUCCCCGGUACCUAAGUAGUGUGAUAAAUAUUAUGUAUAUUUAUAGAUAUAUAUAUUUCUAUGUGUGUGUGUGUGUGUGUGUGUGUGUGUGUGUGAGUAUAAAUCAGUUAAAGUAUAUGUAGUGGUUGGGUAAGAGCAGUAUAAAUUUUGGGGAUAAAGUUUAUGGAUAGAGUGAUUGAUCUCAAAGGGUUUCGGAGAAUGAUGUUUUUGAUCAUUAAAUAAAAGUUAUGAAUCUGCAUGUCUUGAGCAUUAUUUUUAGACGGUGGGGUUAUUAUGUUGUUUUGAAUGCAAAUUUUGUUUUUCCACUCACAUGUUUUCUGUUUUGCGCCCCCCAAACAGUAGUCGCUCAAGGGAGAGUUGCAAGCCAUGUUCGAGGCCCCGAACUGUGAACAUCAGUAGAUUAGGUUUCGAGUAAUUUCUUUCUACUCAACUGGAUGUUCUUGUAAACUAAAUUCGUUAGAUGCUCUAUUAUUGCCCCUGUUAGGUUUUACUUGUGAGGCCAGAGGCCAUUUAGUUUAUACUGUUGAAUAAUAAAUGCAUGCUGCUGGUUGGGAUUAUAUUGUGCUUAUGCAGGUUGAAAUUUUUGGGAUUGUUCAAUUUACAUGGGAGACUCUAGCAAAAUUUUAGUAGAGAGUCUCGGUUUUUAAUAAGUGGGCCAGGCAUCGGGGUAAUGUCGGAAAUAAGACUGGAUUCGUCCCGGUUUCCGAAGAAUUCGAGGCGGGUCCUGUCAAGUUCCUCCUAUUAACAAUAAUAAAUUAAAUAUUUAUAUAACUGAUAACAGUUCCUCAUAUUAACAAUAAUAAAUUAGUAUUUUGUAUAAUAAACAUGUUUAAUGAAAUUCAUCUUCUUCUAGCAUGUUUAUUUAAAUUCUAAGUUUUCUGAAGAAAAAAAAAAAAAAAAAGGAGAAGGAAAUGUCCUAAAUUAAAUCUUAAAAGUUCAUUUUUUUCUGUCCCUAUAUAUUUUUUACCCAAUUAUAAUUUGAGAAAAAAAGGUGAAUUAACUGUCAUUUCACCUUCAUCAUUUUCAUGAUUUAUAUAAGAUUCUUCAAAGAUCAUUUCCACAAAAAAUUACUUAAAUUCGAAUCCAUUUAACCGUCUAAUUAAAUCGUUAGGACCGUUGAAAUAAAAUUUAAAGUGAGUUUAAAGUGAGUCCUACUAUGUCUCCCUCAAAUAAGAUCAUUUACAGGAUCUGUCGAGUCAUAUGAGAAUGUUUAGCUUUUCGAUCCCAAGAGUUUGGUUCGAUUUUCAUAUAUAUAUAUAUAUAUAUAUAUAUAUAUACAAGUCAAUUUACUUUAAAAAGUUCACCAAAUUUUAUUUUUGGUCUCGGUAGUUUGCUUGAGGGCCUUUUUCUGUCAAUCUAUUUGUUGUGAUUGAAAGAUUUUAUAUAAAACAAAAGAUAUGUUUUUAUCUUAAAAAAUGCUUAUUUUCAGAUCUUUACAUAUAGACAUACAUAUGGCCUGAGAAUUCAAGCAAUAAAGACAUAAGCUGAUGAGCAUUCAUAAUCAUUAGAAUGAGUACUGAAUGGUCAACUCUUUCAAAAUACUUCGGAAAAAAACAAAGGACAAUACUUCCUUCCUUACUCAUAAGAAGGAACUCCUUCUCACCUUCUAUUGUCCCUCAACCACAAAGUAACAAGUGUUCUCUUUUUUUAAUUGUCAAUUUUUUUUUUUUCACUUUUACUGAACCCCUAGCUUUUUACCAAAGCAAAAAACACAAAACAAUAUUCCCAUUGUUUUUUUUUUUCAUUUUGAUUUUUUUCUCAACUUUUUGAAAAAUAACAUUUUUCCUUCUUCAGUAAAAAAUUGAAGUCUUUGUGGUUAAAAGCUAAGGUUUCAGUAAAGGUUUAAAAUAAAUAAAAAGUUUUGACAAUUCAAAAAACAGAACACAUAUCACUUUGUGGUUGAGCCGCAAUAGAAAGUAAGAAAGAAUUCCACCUUACCCAUAAGGAGGGAAGUAUUGUCAAAAAGAAAACAUCUUAAAAAACACACAGAAAACCCACCAUCACUACUUAAAAGAAGUAGAGAAGUCCAACAUUCUGAUUUUUAUACACCUACGUGACGUGAGCAUUCAAUAAUCAUCCUACACAUAUGUUGAUGUGAGCAUUCAAAAUCAUUAGAAUGAUUUAAUUGAAGACUCAACGUACGGACGUCUUUUUCACUUAGAUUCCCUUCCUGUACAAACUUGAAUCAGUUCCUCCACGACCCCAUCAAUCUCUUCAUCCUCUUUCUUGUUCACGUUGUCGCUUAUUUUCAAUGCCUUUUUUCUCACUCCCUCUCCAAAUUUCUCCACAACCACAUCUCUAAUCACCUUUGCGACCUCUUCUCUUUGCAAACUUCCUUCACCUGUUCUCUUAACCUCCACACCAACACCCACCUCCUCCACUAGUCUAGCGUUGAUCGGCUGGUCAAGAUGCAUAGGCAUGGCUAUAAUUGGAACACCAAACUUGAUGCUCUCCAACACUGAGUUCCAUCCGCAGUGACUCACAAACCCCCCAACACUAGAAUGCUGCAGUAUCUUUGCCUGUGGGGCCCAACCCUCCAUUAUCACUCCCUUCUCUCCCACCCUCUGUAAAAACCCUUCUGGUAACACCUCUUCAACCCUAGUACUUCUCUCCUCCUUAGAAAAUCUUAUAACCCAAAUGAAGCUCACUUUGCUAAGCUCUAAUCCGUGAGCUAUCUCUUCUAUUUGCUCCUUGGACAGAAAGUACUCACUGCCAAAGCAAACAUACACAACAGAAGACCUUUCCAUUUUGUUCAGCCAUUUCAUGAUCCAUGUUUCCUCAUCAACUUUUUGAUCCAUUGGCUCUUGAACAAGCGUGCCAACAGGCACGAUCUUCUUCCCCGUUAAAUCAGAGAGAUAAUCAAUAUAUUUUUCUUCAAUCUCGCUGGAUGUCUUGACCAAAAUGAUGUUACAAGAUCGAGCACUGCAUUGCUGAAC